ensembl:lncRNA
CUCGGCGGUCGUCGUCGCCGGUCUACUAGCUGCCACCGCAACUUUGUUCUGUGUUUGUUUGUUUUUGUCUAAUUGGUUUCACCUGUUUCUUGUUUGGUUUUUAGGGUGGGGUUAUAUAAAUUCGUUCAGCCCGCUUCUGUUUGUGCGGGCUUGUUCGUAUGUAUGUGUUUGCUUUAAUGUUUCUGGACAUUAAAGCGUGUUUUUCACGCAUCCUUUUGCUCUCUGCGCCUGACUCCACACCUAUACACUCAUUGAGCGUUACAGAAGCCCGCACCAAGAUAUAGAGUCAGCAGGAGCAGCGGCCACCCCUCUACCCACGAUGGAGGAGAGAGUCCUUCAUCACACGUCCAUCCUCCAUCGCAUCGGAUCAGCGAUGGAUCAAAUGAUGGAGAGGAUGGAUCGUUGGGAGAGGAGUGGUCUCCCUACUACCCCCCACCAGCAACUCUACCAUCUCCCCAGCGGGAUCUUCUUACAGCGCUCUGCGCAUUACGCCUCCGAGGGAGUACGAUGGAGCAGCGGCGGGGUGCCAGGGAUUCCUGCUUCAACUAGACCUCUACCUGGCCACCGUUCGGCCGGCUCCCUCGGACGAGGAGAGCGUGAGUGUCCUCGUCACUUGCCUUACGGGUAGAGCCCUGUAGUGGGCCAAUGCUUUCUGGAACGGGCCCGACUCAGCGAGGGGCAACUACCCGGAGUUCACCCGCCGUUUCCGGGCCGUGUUCGAUCACCCUACGGAAGGCCGAGCGGGGGGUGAGAGGUUGUUCCAUCUCAGGCAGGGGACGAGGAGCGCGCAGGACUUCGCGCUGGAUUUCCGGACCUUGGCCGCUGGAGCAGGGUGGAACGACAGGGCCCGGAUAGACCAUUACAGGUGUAGCCUGAGAGAGGACGUCCGCAGGGAGCUGGCUUGUCGGGACACUACGCUUGGCCUGGAUGAACUGAUAGACCUGUCGAUCCGGUUAGACCAUCUGCUAGCUGCUCGCGGACGUUCUGAAAGGGUCCUGUUAGUUCCACCUCCUCCUGUACCAGUUGUGGCCGGAGAGGGCACACUUCAGGUCGGUGCUGGAGGAGUUCAUCUGGGAAUCGAGAGGGCAGGCAGAACACUCCUCGGUCACCCCAGGCCAGUGGUAGCUGGUCCCAUGCAGGAAGGUGAGGUUCUGGAGGUCCCUCCGUCCCCUCUGGACAUCGAGGGGUGCCCGGCGUACACGAUACAAGCUAUUCUGGACUCGAGACGCCGGGUGAGGGGCUUGCAGUACCUCGUUGACUGGGAGGGGUACGGUCCGGAGGAGAGGUGCUGGGUCCCGGUGGGGGAUAUUCUGGAUCCAUCUAUGUUGAGAGUUCCAUCGCCUCCAUCCGGAUCGCCCGGCGCCUCGCCCUCGUCGGGGGUGUACUGUCACGAAUAUUACCGAUGUCUAAUUGGUUUCACAUGUUUCUUGUUUGGUUAUUAGGGUGGGGUUAUAAAUUCGUUCAGCCCGCUUCUGUUUUUGCGGGCUUGUUCGUAUGUAUGUGUUCGAGUGGUUUUGUUUGCUUUUCGGGUUUCUCGCUGUCCUUUUAUUUUUUCACAUUUGUUCCUGUGAUUUAUUUCUGGACAUUAAAGCGUGUUUCCCGCA